rnacentral:rRNA from 1 species
UACGGGGGGGGCAAGCGUUGUUCGGAAUUACUGGGCGUAAAGGGCGCGUAGGCGGCCUGCUAAGUCGGAUGUGAAAUCCCUCGGCUCAACCGAGGAACUGCAUCCGAUACUGGCGGGCUUGAAUCCGGGAGAGGGAUGUGGAAUUCCAGGUGUAGCGGUGAAAUGCGUAGAUAUCUGGAGGAACACCGGUGGCGAAGGCGGCAUCCUGGACCGGUAUUGACGCUGAUGCGCGAAAGCCAGGGGAGCAAACGGG